UACGGGGGGAGCAAGCGUUGUUCGGAUUUACUGGGCGUAAAGGGCGCGUAGGCGGCCACCGCAAGUCGACUGUGAAAUCUCCGGGCUUAACCCGGAGCGGCCAAGUGAUACUGUCGUGCUAGAGUGCGGAAGGGGCUACUGGAAUUCUCGGUGUAGCGGUGAAAUGCGUAGAUAUCGAGAGGAACACCUGCGGCGAAGGCGGGUAGCUGGGCCGACACUGACGCUGAAGCGCGAAAGCCAGGGGAGCGAACGGG
rnacentral:rRNA from 1 species